UACGUAGGCAGCGAGCGUUGUUCGGAGUUACUGGGCGUAAAGAGUGCGUAGGCGGUUUUCUAAGUUUGGUGUGAAAUCUCCCGGCUUAACUGGGAGGGUGCGCCGAAAACUGGAAGGCUUGAGUAUGGGAGAGGUAAGCGGAAUUCCUGGUGUAGCGGUGAAAUGCGUAGAUAUCAGGAGGAACACCGAUGGCGAAGGCAGCUCGCUGGGACGGUACUGACGCUGAGGAGCGAAAGCGUGGGGAGCAAACAGG
rnacentral:rRNA from 1 species